rnacentral:rRNA from 1 species
CGUAUCACCCAAGACAACUUUACGGAGUUGACGAUUGACGGAGCGAAGCGACGUCAAAGCGUUCAUUAAAGUCGAGUUGGCUUAGGGAUACGUUCGUUGGGUAGGGGAGCGUUCUGUAAGCCUGUGAAGGUGUGUCGUGAGGCAUGCUGGAGGUAUCAGAAGUGCGAAUGCUGACAUAAGUAACGAUAAAGCGGGUGAAAAGCCCGCUCGCCGGAAGACCAAGGGUUCCUGUCCAACGUUAAUCGGGGCAGGGUGAGUCGACCCCUAAGGCGAGGCCGAAAGGCGUAGUCGAUGGGAAACGGGUUAAUAUUCCCGUACUUGGUGUUACUGCGAAGGGGGGACGGAGAAGGCUAUGUUGGCCGGGCGACGGUUGUCCCGGUUUAAGCGUGUAGGUGUGUGUUCCAGGUAAAUCCGGUUCACUUUAACACUGAGGCGUGACGACGAGGCACUACGGUGCUGAAGCAACAAAUGCCCUGCUUCCAGGAAAAGCCUCUAAGCAUCAGGUAACACGAAAUCGUACCCCAAACCGACACAGGUGGUCAGGUAGAGAAUACCAAGGCGCUUGAGAGAACUCGGGUGAAGGAACUAGGCAAAAUGGUGCCGUAACUUCGGGAGAAGGCACGCUGACACGUAGGUGAAGUGAUUUACUCAUGGAGCUGAAGUCAGUCGAAGAUACCAGCUGGCUGCAACUGUUUAUUAAAAACACAGCACUGUGCAAACACGAAAGUGGACGUAUACGGUGUGACGCCUGCCCGGUGCCGGAAGGUUAAUUGAUGGGGUCAGCGUAAGCGAAGCUCCUGAUCGAAGCCCCGGUAAACGGCGGCCGUAACUAUAACGGUCCUAAGGUAGCGAAAUUCCUUGUCGGGUAAGUUCCGACCUGCACGAAUGGCGUAAUGAUGGCCAGGCUGUCUCCACCCGAGACUCAGUGAAAUUGAACUCGCUGUGAAGAUGCAGUGUACCCGCGGCAAGACGGAAAGACCCCGUGAACCUUUACUAUAGCUUGACACUGAACAUUGAGCCUUGAUGUGUAGGAUAGGUGGGAGGCUUUGAAGUGUGGACGCCAGUCUGCAUGGAGCCGACCUUGAAAUACCACCCUUUAAUGUUUGAUGUUCUAACGUGGACCCGUAAUCCGGGUUGCGGACAGUGUCUGGUGGGUAGUUUGACUGGGGCGGUCUCCUCCUAAAGAGUAACGGAGGAGCACGAAGGUUGGCUAAUCCUGGUCGGACAUCAGGAGGUUAGUGCAAUGGCAUAAGCCAGCUUGACUGCGAGCGUGACGGCGCGAGCAGGUGCGAAAGCAGGUCAUAGUGAUCCGGUGGUUCUGAAUGGAAGGGCCAUCGCUCAACGGAUAAAAGGUACUCCGGGGAUAACAGGCUGAUACCGCCCAAGAGUUCAUAUCGACGGCGGUGUUUGGCACCUCGAUGUCGGCUCAUCACAUCCUGGGGCUGAAGUAGGUCCCAAGGGUAUGGCUGUUCGCCAUUUAAAGUGGUACGCGAGCUGGGUUUAGAACGUCGUGAGACAGUUCGGUCCCUAUCUGCCGUGGGCGCUGGAGAACUGAGGGGGGCUGCUCCUAGUACGAGAGGACCGGAGUGGACGCAUCACUGGUGUUCGGGUUGUCAUGCCAAUGGCACUGCCCGGUAGCUAAAUGCGGAAGAGAUAAGUGCUGAAAGCAUCUAAGCACGAAACUUGCCCCGAGAUGAGUUCUCCCUGAGACUUAG